UUGAACGCUGGCGGCAGGCCUAACACAUGCAAGUCGAGCGGUUGAGAGUAGCUUGCUACUUGAUGCAGCGGCGGACGGGUGAGUAACGCGUGGGAAUCUGCCCAGUAGUGGGGGACAACAGCCGGAAACGGCUGCUAAUACCGCAUACGCCCUACGGGGGAAAGGGGGGGAUCUUCGGACCUCUCGCUAUUGGAUGAGCCCGCGUCGGAUUAGCUAGUUGGUAGGGUAAAGGCCUACCAAGGCUGCGAUCCGUAACUGGUCUGAGAGGAUGAUCAGUCACACUGGAACUGAGACACGGUCCAGACUCCUACGGGAGGCAGCAGUGGGGAAUAUUGGACAAUGGGGGAAACCCUGAUCCAGCCAUGCCGCGUGUGUGAAGAAGGCCUUAGGGUUGUAAAGCACUUUCAGUGGGGAGAAAGGUUUGUCACCUAAUACGUGAUGAAAUUGAUGUUACCCACAGAAGAAGCACCGGCUAACUCCGUGCCAGCCGCCGCCGUAACAC
rnacentral:rRNA from 1 species